rnacentral:rRNA from 1 species
UACGGAGGGGGGCUAGCGUUGUUCGGAAUUACUGGGCGUAAAGCGCGCGUAGGCGGCUUUGUAAGUUAGAGGUGAAAGCCCGGAGCUCAACUCCGGAAUUGCCUUUAAGACUGCAUCGCUAGAAUCAUGGAGAGGUUAGUGGAAUUCCGAGUGUAGAGGUGAAAUUCGUAGAUAUCAGGAGGAACACCGGUGGCGAAGGCGGCAUCCUGGACCAAUACUGACGCUGAGGCGCGAAAGCUAGGGGAGCAAACGGGG